rnacentral:rRNA from 1 species
GAGUUUGAUCAUGGCUCAGAACGAACGCUGGCGGCAGGCUUAACACAUGCAAGUCGUACGAGAACGUCUCGCUUCGGCGAGGCUAGUAAAGUGGCGCACGGGUGAGUAACGCGUGGGUAAUCUACCCUUGGUACGGGAUAACGUCUCGAAAGGGGCGCUAAUACCGUAUAAGACCACAGCAACCCCGGUUGCAGAGGUAAAAGCGGGCCUCUACAUGUAAGCUCGCGCCUGAGGAUGAGCCCGCGUCCCAUUAGCUUGUUGGUGAGGUAACGGCUCACCAAGGCCGCGAUGGGUAGCUGGUCUGAGAGGAUGAUCAGCCACACUGGGACUGGAACACGGCCCAGACUCCUACGGGAGGCAGCAGUGAGGAGUCUUGCGCAAUGGGGGAAACCCUGACGCAGCCAUGCCGCGUGGGUGAAGAAGGCCUCGGUCGUAACG